rnacentral:rRNA from 1 species
CAACAGGGAUUGCCUUAGUAACGGCGAGUGAAGCGGCAAAAGCUCAAAUUUGAAAUCUGGCACCUUCGGUGUCCGAGUUGUAAUUUGAAGAAGGUAACUUUGGAGUUGGCUCUUGUCUAUGUUCCUUGGAACAGGACGUCACAGAGGGUGAGAAUCCCGUGCGAUGAGAUGCCCAAUUCUAUGUAAAGUGCUUUCGAAGAGUCGAGUUGUUUGGGAAUGCAGCUCUAAGUGGGUGGUAAAUUCCAUCUAAAGCUAAAUAUUGGCGAGAGACCGAUAGCGAACAAGUACAGUGAUGGAAAGAUGAAAAGAACUUUGAAAAGAGAGUGAAAAAGUACGUGAAAUUGUUGAAAGGGAAGGGCUUGAGAUCAGACUUGGUAUUUUGCGAUCCUUUCCUUCUUGGUUGGGUUCCUCGCAGCUUACUGGGCCAGCAUCGGUUUGGAUGGUAGGAUAAUGACUAAGGAAUGUGGCUCUACUUCGGUGGAGUGUUAUAGCCUUGGUUGAUACUGCCUGUCUAGACCGAGGACUGCGUCUUUUGACUAGGAUGUUGGCAUA